rnacentral:rRNA from 1 species
GAUGAACGCUGGCGGCGUGCCUAAUACAUGCAAGUCGAGCGAACGGACGAGAAGCUUGCUUCUCUGAUGUUAGCGGCGGACGGGUGAGUAACACGUGGAUAACCUACCUAUAAGACUGGGAUAACUUCGGGAAACCGGAGCUAAUACCGGAUAAUAUUUUGAACCGCAUGGUUCAAAAGUGAAAGACGGUCUUGCUGUCACUUAUAGAUGGAUCCGCGCUGCAUUAGCUAGUUGGUAAGGUAACGGCUUACCAAGGCAACGAUGCAUAGCCGACCUGAGAGGGUGAUCGGCCACACUGGAACUGAGACACGGUCCAGACUCCUACGGGAGGCAGCAGUAGGGAAUCUUCCGCAAUGGGCGAAAGCCUGACGGAGCAACGCCGCGUGAGUGAUGAAGGUCUUCGGAUCGUAAAACUCUGUUAUUAGGGAAGAACAUAUGUGUAAGUAACUGUGCACAUCUUGACGGUACCUAAUCAGAAAGCCACGGCUAACUACGUACCAGCAGCCGCGGUAAUACGUAGGUGGCAAGCGUUAUCCGGAAUUAUUGGGCGUAAAGCGCGCGUAGGCGGUUUUUUAAGUCUGAUGUGAAAGCCCACGGCUCAACCGUGGAGGGUCAUUGGAAACUGGAAAACUUGAGUGCAGAAGAGGAAAGUGGAAUUCCAUGUGUAGCGGUGAAAUGCGCAGAGAUAUGGAGGAACACCAGUGGCGAAGGCGACUUUCUGGUCUGUAACUGACGCUGAUGUGCGAAAGCGUGGGGAUCAAACAGGAUUAGAUACCCUGGUAGUCCACGCCGUAAACGAUGAGUGCUAAGUGUUAGGGGGUUUCCGCCCCUUAGUGCUGCAGCUAACGCAUUAAGCACUCCGCCUGGGGAGUACGACCGCAAGGUUGAAACUCAAAGGAAUUGACGGGGACCCGCACAAGCGGUGGAGCAUGUGGUUUAAUUCGAAGCAACGCGAAGAACCUUACCAAAUCUUGACAUCCUUUGACAACUCUAGAGAUAGAGCCUUCCCCUUCGGGGGACAAAGUGACAGGUGGUGCAUGGUUGUCGUCAGCUCGUGUCGUGAGAUGUUGGGUUAAGUCCCGCAACGAGCGCAACCCUUAAGCUUAGUUGCCAUCAUUAAGUUGGGCACUCUAAGUUGACUGCCGGUGACAAACCGGAGGAAGGUGGGGAUGACGUCAAAUCAUCAUGCCCCUUAUGAUUUGGGCUACACACGUGCUACAAUGGACAAUACAAAGGGCAGCGAAACCGCGAGGUCAAGCAAAUCCCAUAAAGCUGUUCUCAGUUCGGAUUGUAGUCUGCAACUCGACUACAUGAAGCUGGAAUCGCUAGUAAUCGUAGAUCAGCAUGCUACGGUGAAUACGUUCCCGGGUCU